GCUAAUUCAUCUCCCGCCAAAAUCUCUCAAUUUAGCCUAAAGACUAAAAAAAAGGACAUGAAUUACUUUAACUGAAAAACCCUUACAAUCUCUCCGCAAGCCAUUUAAGAGCAAAAUCGCCGGCCACUUUAUCAACCAAAAAAGUAACCCUCAUAUAAUACAAUCUCAUCCGUAAGCCAUUUAAGAGCAAAAUUGCCGACCACAUUCUCAACAAAAAAAAAAAAAAGAACUAUGCAAACUAGAGGUCGCAAUCGAGUUGGUAAUUGAACAAAAUGAUGAUGAAGAUGUGCGACUUUAUAUUGAGCAAUUGAUGGAUGGUCAAAACUACUUUAGAGACCAACCAUAUAUUGAGCAUUUGAUGGAUGAUCAAAAUUACUCUGAAGCCUAAGCACAUGAUGAUCAAUCUAAUGAGCCGAAUAGUUCUGCUGGUGGCACUGAGAUUCAACAUAAUGAGGAUCAGGUAAUACUUUUUUAGUAUUGCAAUCUGUUGCUUUUGUAGUAUAGAUUAAAGUACAACUAAAAAAAAAGAGCUCGCUUAAUAUCAAUUGCACAUUUCCAGAAAUUAAAUUUCUCCUAAUAUCUUUUUAUCAAGUGAAAUUGCUUUAGUACAGUUUCUCUUUAGCUUGUUGAAAGCUGCAUGUGAAAUUACUCAGUAAAAAAAUUAGACCAUCAAGCACCGAAGAAGUAGUUCUACAUAAUGUUUUACCAUACCAUCCCAAUUAUAAGUAAGCAGCUAGCUAAUACAAUAGUAUGUGGGCUUAUCAUUCAAUUUUAUUGCUUCUGUGUAGUAGCUCACGGCUUUGUUCCACUGCUUGCCUUUAUAUGCAGUAUUUCCCUAUAUAGAGCACCAUGAUAAAUUAGAAACACAUACUAAUGAAAGAUCUCAUAACUUUCAAAAGGUAGUAAAGUGAAUAUGAAUAACUAUUAGGCACAAUAUUUUCAUUGCAUAUACUGUUACUUAAGGCUGAAAUUAAAAAUUUGCUAGGAUUAUGGUAACUACAUAAUAGUAGCAACUCAACCAGAGAUCAAUGUAACAACAAUCAUUGUGAAAUUGAUUGUUUCUGGUGUGGCUUAUUAGCAGACUCUUCUUCUCCGGAGUCGAGAGACCCGACGAAAGUGAAAGUUAAUAUUUGUUAGUGCCCUACAUGCUGCUCAUCAGAGAGAAUAUUAAAUUCCAAUGCUGCAGCUAAAAGAUGUAACAAGGAGAUGUGAAUUAUACUUUAGAUCUUUGUAGCCUCUCAGACGAGGAUAUAAAAUGGUUUGAUGCCACAAAGCGAAUUAAGAAACAUAAUAUAAUCAAGUUGAACAAAACUUACGGUUGAUCUUAACAUACUAAAAGAGAAAAAGGUGAACAACACAUUUCUUUUUAAAAGUUCAGAUGCAUCAACGUUCCCAUUGGUACCUGGUAAUGGUAAUUCACUGGAUUGUAUACUUAAUUCCUCUUGAAGAGAUGAAUACAUAUCCAAGACACAAGUAGAAACUUCUCAUUCCCGUGAGAUGCAAUAAAUGACAAGGAUAUAUGAUAGUUAUCAUGUUCUCCAAAAGGAAUGAUACCUUGACUUUUUUUUCUUUUUUUCUGUAGAUGCAUUAACAAUGAAGUUGUGACUUUUAUAUUCACACUUUAAGUAAUGAAUUUGUUAUAUUCUUCUUUAAUGAAGUGUGAGGCUAAUCAAGUUUGUAUGAAAAAUAAUUUUGGCAGGUGCAUGGUUCUUAUUUCUUAAUCUUUGGAAAUUGAACAUAGCUGUUGUUUUUUUGGUUAUUCUGACAUUUAUAGUAAUAUUCAUGAUUUACUAGUGUCUUUAAGUAGCAUAAUGCUAACGUAUCUUGAGUUAGGAUUCUUAAGAAAUAACGUAUCAGACGAUUCAAAUAUUUUUCAUUCUAGGUAAUUCGGAAACAAGAAAGGUUCGUUGGCCUACCUUACUAAAAGAUAUUUGGAAACUUCCGUCAGGAAAGACCAUUAAUUUGUUCUAGUAUUUCGGCUUACCUUAGAUGCUUCUUGCUUUUAUGUAUUUUUUUUUUUCACUGUUGUUGAUGUCGUAAGUUUGUGAUAGUAGUGAAUCAUUUUAAAAAUAAUCUUUUUCCAGAUUGUGAUUAUAUGUGUAAUAUUAUUAUAUCCUUCUUAUGUACACACAUAGUGAAAAAAUAUUUAUUUAUUCUAUUAAAUUGACAUCAUUUUUUAUCUUUAAAUCAAUUCAUAUUUGUCUGCUUGAAUUCUUCGGAUGGUUGACAAACCUAUAGCCUUAAACCUUAAAGUCAAUCACAACUUCUCCAUUUACAACAAGCAGCACCCAUUACUCUAGCACUAGAGAUGAGAACGACUGCACAAGAACCACCUGUGUUGGUGUAGAGUUAUAAAUUUAAGAAGUGAUAAUUCCUAACGAGUUUUCUUUUCUGUUGUUAGUGAUGGGAUGAAUGGCUUUAAAAAGCAAGCCGAUGUCAUCUCUUCAAGUGAUUUAAGAGGAUCUUUGUUUUUUCCUCUUGCCAUGUCUUGUGUUGCAUUAUAGUAACAUAGGUUCGGUUUGUUACUUUCUAUGACACCUUGGCCGUUGCUUCUAUCUAAGCAAAGGUUUGUAAAUUGCUUGGUAAUGUUCUGUCUUUGGAAUUAUAAAUAGAUGGUAUCUAACUUCUGAUUUUUAUAUUAACAUUGCAUACUCUAUUUUGAAUCUUGUGCCACUAGUCCUUGGCGAUUUUAGUUAUUCAAAUAAAUAUAAAGAUGAUUGUGACUUUUCUUUUAGUUCCAUAGAUGUUAAGAAAGUUAAAUAGAAUGUUCAAAAAAUUGAUUAUCUAAUUUAUGUUGUAUGAGAAAACUUUUUCUUUCUAGAUGCAUAGUGAGUUAUGAAAUGUGUGGGUGGAUUUAAAAAAACCUUUCGGUAUGUUGAGUCUUUGUUGGGUAAGUUUGAACCUCCAACGAUUGCACAAAACAUUUGCAUUUCUUGAGACCGGAUGCUGGUAAAUAUUCUUUUCCGAUAAGGUAAUGUAAAUUUCAUUAAAAAUGUACCAAGAAGAUACAGAAAGCAUAUAAAAGUUCUUUUUAAUUCUCCAAGCUAAUACUCUGCUUUUGAUAUUUUUUGUUUCUUCUCUGUCAUAACAAAGAAAGAAACUUUCUUUUAUUAUUUGCACAUCCAUUUUGCUCGUCUAUUAAUCCAUCUAGUUGUCUCUGCUUGUGAAUGUUAGGUGAGUGAGUUGGGUAAAAAACAAUCUGACAGUGAUGGAGUCUUCAAGAUAUUUUUUCACAUUAUAUUUUAUCUUUUGACAUAGUUAAUUUAUAAUUUCAAGUCAUACAGUCUAAUGUUCGAUAUUUUUGCGGGUGGAAGAUUUCAAUAUGAUGAAAAGUUGUGGAAA